GGACAGGUGGAUGCCAGCUAGAUUUAGCCAUUCACAUUGGCAAAGUAGGUGAUCCAUCUUUCCACACACUCUUCUGUCAGGCUUCCAGAAAGGCUUUCUGCUCCCAUCCCUUAAACACCUCCCUGUGUUUCACUGUCACUGUGCCUGGAAUCAUACCUUCCUGUAGCCUUCCAGUUCCUGUUCAGGUGGUAUGUGCUCUGAGAAGGCUGGGACCAUAAAUGCUGUAAUCAGCCGGGAAUAGCUAAGCUCAGAGCCAGAGCCAAGAAGGAAAGGGUUACCCAAAAUUGAGGCAUGAACUGUUGAUUCACUAAAAAGAGAAAAAGUCCAUUCCAACUUCACCUCAGAGCACACACCCAAAUUCAAAAAUUAUUUUCAAAGGUCAAAAGGAAAAAUGAGCCCAUUAAAAACCAGAGGGAAAAGGAAUAUUUAACAAGUGACUGAAUGAGGGAGCCCAUUUAAGCUAAAAAGCAGCAAAAUGACAUCAAGAAGGCAAAGGCCAACCAAUUUGACUACAUUAAAACUAAAUAUUUUCAAAGUCAAGUAAUAUCACAAACAACCAAAAAGCAGAGUGGUUGCAGAUUCUUAAUGUAUAAAAGAACACACCCAAAACUUUAAUAGUAAAAGCAAAACAGGUAAGUGUGUGUAAGUCACCUGAAUUGAGUUUACAGGAAAAGAAAUGGAAUUGACUGAAAAACUUUUUGAAAAAACAUUCAACUUCACUAAUAACCAAAGAUCAACAAUAAAAACAACAAGGAAAUACAAAUUUUCCCUAACAAAUUAGGGGAAGAAAUUUAAGAAUACCCAAUGUUCAUGAGGAUAGUGGAAUAGGCACUGUUUCACACUACUGGGGGGAAUGUGAAUUGGUGUACACUUCUUGGAAAGUCGGAAGAAGAGAGAAGUUUUCAGAGAGAGUAAGUGGCCUGUAACUUUACUCAACAUUUAUUGAGUAUCUACUUUGCGUCAGGCAUGAUGAUAGGUUUUUAAAUAUUGGCCAGGCACAGUGGCUAAUGCUUGUAAUCUCAGCAGUUUAGGAGGCCAAGGCAGGAGGAUUGCUUGAGCUUAGAAGUUCAAGACCAGCCUAAGCAACAUAGCAUGAUCCUGUAUCUAUAAAAGUACACACACACACACACACACACACACACACACACACACACACCUGAAGAUAAAUAUGAUCCUUGCCCUUGGGAGUUCAAAGAGUUAAGAAAAACACACAGACAGACACUAAAAUGAUACAUAGGAAGGAGAAGGCAGAGGCAGAGGUGAGAGCCAUCAUGGAUGAACUCAGACAGCUGGGGAUUGCUGAAGCAUGAAAUGAGAGGCUAGGGGUGGAGAAAGCAGAACCAGAUCACAUAGUGUUACUAUGUCUAAUUUAAGACUUGGGUCUUCAAUUGCAGCAGGGAGCCCCUGAAGCAUUUUGUGCAAGCAGGUGCCAUGGUAGGAUUUCUCUUUUGAGGUGAUUACUCUGGUUGCUUGGAGAAAUUUGGAGGCGUGUGGGCCAGAGAGGAGAUGAUUGCCUUGGUCCAGGUGGGGUCCAGGAGGGAUAAGGGUAGGGGCCAAGAGGAUGGAAGGAAGUGGUCGGAUCCAGGAGGUGAAAUUGGGAGAAUCUGCUGACUGGUUGGUUGCUGGUGUUAAAGAAAGACAGUAAAGGAUACCUUUCCUGUUUUCUGUCGUGAGUGACUGGGUGAAUGGAAGAACACCUAGGAGAAAGAGCAGGUUUGGGGGCUAAGAGAAAGUUAUUGAGCUCAAUUUUGGACAGGUUGAGUCAGAGGUGGGCAUCCAGGAGGAGGUGGCCUGCAAGGAGCUAGAUAGAGGGUCUAGAUCCAGCAGGAGAUUUAAACAAGAGAUUUGGUUUGAGACUAUGGUCAUUGUAGCCAUGGGCUUUGGUGAGCUGGCUCUAGCAGAACGUGUCAGCUGAGAAAAGAGGGGUCCAGGAACAAGAAAGAGCCUUGCCCCCAUUUAAGGGGUGGGCAGAGAGAGGGGAGCCCACAAAGGUGAAAAAGAAGUCAGAGAGACAUAGAAAAAGCACCUGUAGCCUAUGUUGGCAUGGAAACCUGGGGAUGUGGAGCACUUCCAAAAGAGAGCCAACAGACAAAAGAGAAAGGCCAGCUAGACAGGGACCGAGAGCCCACUGGAUGUAGUAAUUAGGGGCCACUAGACCCUCAUCAAGAACAGUUUCCUGUGAGAGAUGGGGCAGAGGAAAAUGAAAGGGCAAGGAAAGCAGGCAGCAUGGCCACCUCUCAGGGAAAGCUGCUAGAGUAACAGUUUGGGCCAGGGGACAAUUUCUGAGCUGGCUCUGGACUGAGAUGACCUAAGGAUAGAUGUGAUAGAAGCAGUCCAGAAGGCUAUCACCUAGAGUCCUCCCACCUGUCUGAGUCAGAGGCAGGAGCAAAGGGCGAGGGUGGGCAAGGAAGGAAAAUGUGCAUAGCUGGCAUCAAGUAGGAAAGUGUAUGUACCUGUACCGGUUGGGAGCUCACCAAAGAAGGGUGAGCAUCUCAACAGGGAUAGAUGAAGAACCAGAGAUGCACUCAAAGAAGGACAAGGCCAGAAACGAGUUCGUGACAUUUUAGGAAUGGGUACAGGAAGAGAGUCCUGCUGAGGAGACUGAGAAGGAGGGGCCAGAGGAGAAGACCAAAAACAUGGGGUUCCUAGAAGCCAGAGGACAGUUUCCAAAAGGACAGAGUGGCCACUGGUGGGCCACAUGCACAGAGGUCAGUGGAGGCUCAGGCAUCUCCUAGACCUGGCC
rnacentral:lncRNA from 10 species